AUGAGUGAUAUUUAAAUAUUGAAAAUUCAAUAAAAACAUGGGAGAUUGAUGCUUUUAUGCAUGUAAAUGGUGAUUUUUGAUGUUGAUGAGUAAGUAGAUGUAAGUUAUAUAUUGAGUGAUGAAGUUGCACGUACUUGCAAGUAUAUGUUGUGGUUGAUAAAUUGGAGUUAGGGUUUUGGUUUAACUAUUGGAGACUUUGUGUUAUUACUAGAAUUUAACUUGUUGAGAUGAAUUGAUGA
rnacentral:misc_RNA from 1 species